rnacentral:rRNA from 1 species
ACGGGUGAGUAACGCGUGGGAAUCUACCCAUCUCUGCGGAAUAGCUCUGGGAAACUGGAAUUAAUACCGCAUACGCCCUACGGGGGAAAGAUUUAUCGGGGAUGGAUGAGCCCGCGUUGGAUUAGCUAGUUGGUGGGGUAAAGGCCUACCAAGGCGACGAUCCAUAGCUGGUCUGAGAGGAUGAUCAGCCACAUUGGGACCGAGACACGGCCCAAACUCCUACGGGAGGCAGCAGUGGGGAAUAUUGGACAAUGGGCGCAAGCCUGAUCCAGCCAUGCCGCGUGAGUGAUGAAGGCCUUAGGGUUGUAAAGCUCUUUCACCGAUGAAGAUAAUGACGGUAGUCGGAGAAGAAGCCCCGGCUAACUUCGUGCCAGCAGCCGCGGUAAUACGAAGGGGGCUAGCGUUGUUCGGAAUUACUGGGCGUAAAGCGCACGUAGGCGGAUAUUUAAGUCAGGGGUGAAAUCCCGCAGCUCAACUGCGGAACUGCCUUUGAUACUGGGUAUCUUGAGUAUGGAAGAGGUAAGUGGAAUUCCGAGUGUAGAGGUGAAAUUCGUAGA